rnacentral:miRNA from 1 species
AAAGGACAUCAAAAUGGGAUAUACACACAUGUAUACACACAUGUCAGCCACAGACAUCUAUACAUAUGUUUUUAUAGAUAUGUGUGUGUAU